rnacentral:sRNA from 1 species
GAGACAUGUGAAGAUGACCACGUAGUGC